AGCGGGCCUGUCCUGGUGACUGUAGUGGCUUAUGAAUCAUUUGGACCUAACCCCUUGGAGAGUGAACUAGUAGGUAUUUUUCUGACCUAGGGAUGCUGUGAAAAAUUUACUGUAAUACUAAAGCUCUCAAAUGGUCAGACGGGGACCUCUGCCGUAUUGGUGGCUUUGGAUAGAGGCAUAUGAUCAAAAUCAGGCCAAUCAGAGUCACCCCCAGGGCUUGUUCAGGAGAAAUAGGGCAGGUGCAUGCUGUUCUCACUGGGGUCACUAACAUUAAGAACAGCAUCAAUUUCUGGCACCUAUCUCUUCCCCUACAUACAAAGCUCUUAUCUGGGAAAGAAGCCUACCUGAAGAAAAGCAGACCUGAGAGGGACAGCAGGAAAGUGUCCUAACAUCAUGUGCUUGAGCACCUAGAACCAGCCCUACCUGAAGCAAAGCCACCACUAGACCUUUCAGUUAUAGGAGCCAAUAUGUUCCUGAAGCAAGUCAGCAUUCCUAGCUGCUGACAAUGUAAAUGAACCCAAACUGGCUUGCUCAGAAAAGAAUGUGUCAGGAACAUUCAGUAUUUCAGAGACUCUCUGGGAGAGAAGAAUAAUAGGUCCAUGAACAAUGUGUACCCAAAACCAGCACACCCAGCAACAACCCCCAAAUCAUGCUGAAAAAACUGGUCGAGUGGGAAGCCUCCGCUGGGCACAGACACCUCCCGCUGCAGCACCAAUGUCAGCAACGUCACCGGUGCUGGACACAUUACUAGAGCCUCGGCUGCUGCUGGCUCUGGAAACAGGAUGUGGCUGCUGCCAUUAUCCCCAGAAUAGAUUCCGGAUGGCGCUGCAGACUGGGAGGCUGGCGCGAGAGCAUCUGUUUGGCAUAAGAGGCUGGGAGCGAGCACCCGAUUGCCACCAUCAGGGGCGAUCUCUCCACCCACCAAGAACUACAAAGCAGGGAGCUCCCCCAAACGGAGGGAAAAUGUUUAAUAGGCAAAAAGAAUAACAAAUAACAGGCGCACCCCGUGACCCCCCCCCACAGUUGAAUGAAGAAAACAAAGUAACAGAAAAUGAGGUUCAUAAACUGCUCUCAUCCCCCUACACACAAAAAUCGUCUCUUUUCAAAAGAGGACCCAGACACGCGAUGACUGCAUUCAGCUCCACGCCGGCUUCCCGUCCCGCCCGGGGCACGGCGCCUGUCUCUCUGUGACUUCCAGGAGGCCGAGGAAAAAUAGAAAAAUCCAUCUUAAACUCAUAUAGACUCUUAAGGGACCCCGAAGAACCAAAACAAUAUUGAAAAAAAAAAAAUUGGAGGACUCACAGCACUCCCUGAUUUCAAAAUUCACAACAAAGCUACAUUGAAACAGCGUGGGACUGGCGUAAAGACAGACAGACAUAGGCACCGGGGAAGAGACUGGAGAGCUCCGAAGUAACCGUGCCCGGGUUCUGUCCGGUGUCUAUGAGCAGGGACCAAAGCCAUUCAGUGGGGCCAGGGCAGUCUUCGCACCGAGUGGUGUUGGGAAAAGUGGGUAUCUAUGUGUGAAAGAACGACGGUUAUCCUUCCCUGACAGCACGUGCCAAAAUUCACUCAGGGUGGAUCCGGAACCUAAACCAAAGAACUACAAUUAUAAAACUCUUAGGAAAACAGCACAGAGUCAAAGCUUCACAACCUUGGAUUUGGCAAUGAUUUCAUGGACAUGACACCAAAGGCACACACAGCAAAAGAAAAAAUAGAUAAAAACUUUUUGCAUCAAAGGACACUGUCAAGCUAUGGAAUGAGAAAAAAUAUUUGUAAAUAUCUGAUGAAGGUUAAUAUCUAGAAUACAUAGAGUACUCCUAAAACUCAACAAUAAAAAAAAUCACCAGGCACGGUGACUCACGCCUAUAAUCCCGGCCCUUUCAGAGCCAAGGUGGGCGGAUCACCGGAGGCCAGGAGUUCAAGGUUAUAGUGAGCUGUGAUUGUGCCACUGCACUCUAGCCUGGGUGAUAAGACCCUGCCACCAAAAAACAGAAAACAGAAAAACCUAACCAAGUUAAAAAAUGACCAAAGGACUUAUACAGACAUUUCUCCAAAGAAGACAAAGAAAUAGCCAAUAGCACAUGAAAAGAUGUCCUACAUCACUACUCAUAUGGAAAGCAAAUCAAAACCACAGCGAGAUACCGCCUGACACCCAGUGGGAUACCGCCUGACAUCCAGCAGGAUGGCUACUACAAAAAAGAAAACACGGAAAAAGUAAAAACAAGCACUGGGCUGGGUGUCUGUGCUCAGUGGUUAGGGCACCGGCCACAUGCACCUGGGCUGGUGGGUUCAAACAAGGCCCAGGCCUGCUAAAAACAAACAACAACAACAAAAAAUAGCCAGGCAUUGUGCCAGGUGCCUGUUGUCCCAGCUACUAGGGAGGUUGAGGCAAGAGAAUCGCUUGAUUCCAAGAGUUUGAGGUUGCUGUUGAGCUAUUAUGCCAUGGCAUUCUACCGAAGGUGACAAAGUGAGACUCUGUCUCAAUAAAAACGAAACAAAACACAAAAAACAAGCAUUGGCCUGGGUGCAGAGACCAGAGCCUCUUUACACAAUUGGUAGAAAUGUUUAAAAUGGCAAUGGAAAACAAUAUGGCAGUUUCUCAGAAAGGUAAAAGUAGAAUUACCAUUUGAUCCAGCCAUUCAACUUUGGGUAUGUGUGCAAAAGAAAUAAAAGCAGACUCCUGGCUUGGUGCCUGUGGCUCAAGCGGCUAAGGUGCCAGCCACAUACACCUGAGCUGGCGGGUUCGAAUCCAGCCUGGGCCCGCCAAACAACAAUGACCGCUGCAAGCAAAAAAUAGCCAGGUGUUGUGGCGGGCGCCUGUAGUCCCAGCUACUUGGGAGGUGGAGGCAGGAGAAUCGCUUGAGCCCAGGAGUUGGAGGUUGCUGUGAGCUGUGAUGGCACAGCACUCUACCCAGGGCAACAGCUUGAGGCUCUGUCUCAAAAAUAAAUAAAUAAAUAAAAUAAAAAA